UACAGAGGUCCCAAGCGUUGUUCGGAUUCAUUGGGCGUAAAGGGUGCGUAGGCGGCGCGGUAAGUCGGGUGUGAAAUCUCGGGGCUUAACUCCGAAACUGCAUUCGAUACUGCCGUGCUUGAGGACUGGAGAGGAGACUGGAAUUUACGGUGUAGCGGUGAAAUGCGUAGAUAUCGUAAGGAAGACCAGUGGCGAAGGCGGGUCUCUGGACAGUUCCUGACGCUGAGGCGCGAAAGCCAGGGGAGCGAACGGG
rnacentral:rRNA from 1 species